rnacentral:rRNA from 1 species
CACCGGCAGCUCAAGUGGUGGCCAUUAUUAUUGGGCCUAAAGCGUUCGUAGCCGGUUUGAUAAGUCUCUGGUGAAAUCCCGCAGCUUAACUGUGGGACUUGCUGGAGAUACUAUUAGACUUGAGGUCGGGAGAGGUUAGGGGUACUCCCAGGGUAGGGGUGAAAUCCUAUAAUCCUGGGAGGACCACCUGUGGCGAAGGCGCCUAACUGGAACGAACCUGACGGUGAGUAACGAAAGCCAGGGGCGCGAACCGG